UCCCUGGUGGCUCAGAGGGUAAAGCAUCUGCCUACAAUGCAGGAGACCCAGGUUCAAUCCCUGGGUUGGGAA
rnacentral:tRNA from 1 species